rnacentral:rRNA from 1 species
GAUGAACGCUGGCGGCGUGCCUAAUACAUGCAAGUCGAGCGAACAGGCGAGGAGCUUGCUCCUCUGACGUUAGCGGCGGACGGGUGAGUAACGCGUGGAUAACCUACCUAUAAGACUGGGAUAACUUCGGGAAACCGGAGCUAAUACCGGAUAAUAUAUUGAACCGCAUGGUUCAAUAGUGAAAGACGGUUUUGCUGUCACUUAUAGAUGGAUCCGCGCCGCAUUAGCUAGUUGGUAAGGUAACGGCUUACCAAGGCAACGAUGCGUAGCCGACCUGAGAGGGUGAUCGGCCACACUGGAACUGAGACACGGUCCAGACUCCUACGGGAGGCAGCAGUAGGGAAUCUUCCGCAAUGGGCGAAAGCCUGACGGAGCAACGCCGCGUGAGUGAUGAAGGUCUUCGGAUCGUAAAACUCUGUUAUUAGGGAAGAACAAAUGUGUAAGUAACUAUGCACGUCUUGACGGUACCUAAUCAGAAAGCCACGGCUAACUACGUG